UUUUUUUUUUUUUUUUUUUUUUAAAUAACAUUUUGUUCUAAUUAGGGUUUCUGUUGCAAUGAUUAAAUGCAAUACUAUAAACAAAAGCAAGUUGCAGAGAAAAAAAUUUAUUUGGCUUACACUUUUCACAUCACCCUUUAUCAUUUAUUGUCCAGGCAAGGUAGGAACCUGGAGGAAGCAGCAGCUGAUGCAGAGGCCAUGGAGGGGGAUGCUGCUUACUGGGUCACUCCCUAUGGCCUGCUUGUUUCUUAACAGAAUCCAUGCCAAACUCAUGAUGGACUGAGACAUCACAUACCCCCACCCCUACCCCCAUCCUCCAUAUCUCUCACUAAUUGAGAAAUGUCCUACAGGCUUGCCUGCAGCCGAAUUUUCUUUUUUAAAUCAUGUCUUUAAAUUAUGUGAGACCAUUGUUGCUGUUUUCAGACACACCAGAAGAGGGCAUCAGAUAGUUGUGAGCCACUGUGUGGUUGCUGGGAAUUGAACUCAGGACCUCAGGAAGUGCAAUCAGCGCUCUUAACCACUGAGCUAUGUCUCCAACUCAUAUUUCAUUUUUUCAUUGUUUUUAUUUUUUUGAAACAGGGUCUUUCAUUACGGCCUGGCUACCCUGGAAUUGACUAUGUAGACCAGGCUGGCCUGGAACUCAGAAAUCUUCGUAUCUCUACUUCUGAGUGGUAGGAGUAAAGGUGUAUGCCACCAAGCUUGUCCUCCUACAGCCCAGUCUUAUGAAGGCAUUUUCUUAAUUGAGGCUCACUCCUCUCUGAUGAGGAUAGCUUAUGUCAAGUUGGCAUAAAACUAGACACAAAGGCAUAUCACUAUUAAAGCACACCAUUUUUUAUUCUUAUUCACCCCAAAGAUUGCAUGUUAACAUCACAGUAUAAAACAAGUAACUUUUAAAGUUCCAUAGCCUUUACAAAUUCCAAUACAUUAAAUGUUCAGUCUUUUAAAAAUGCUGGGUGGAAGUUGUGCAUGCCUUUAAUCCUAGCACUUAGGAGUCAGACACAGAGGAUCUCUUGAGUUUAAGGUCUAAGGGGCAUGUUCUAGAAUAGCCAGGGCUACACAUAGAAACACACACAGACACACACACACACACACACACACACACACACACAC
rnacentral:lncRNA from 1 species